rnacentral:lncRNA from 1 species
ACGUUCACUGUCUUAUAGCUACCUUGUGGAGAUGGCCAUUGCUGAUGAUACUGCUGUAGAGUCUAUUUUUCUGCUUUGACAGGGUAAUGACAAAACUGCAUAACAUGAGAGUCUAUGAAGAUGAUAUUCCUGGUGCCAUCUCGGUACCUGCUAAGGCAGAGCCGAAUACAUGAGCAGGUCUAAGUGGUGUCAACACAACUAAGUCUCCAGCACUAGGGUGUUCUAAGAUGGUCAAGAAAGCACGCAAGUCAUAGAUUAAAAUAAUGAUAGAUCUGGCAUCAGUAUUUCCUCUUUGAAUAAUGCUUAGGCAUUGUUGUUUUUCUUUUGUUUUUGAACAAGUUCGUUUAUGUUUUACUCCUCUUUUGGUUAAUCUAUGUUUGGUUUAGACUCUCUUUAUAAAAUAUGUCUCAGUUUCCACAAUUGUUGUACAUCUAACUCACUAUUUAUUUAAGACGGACGACACUUGGUCCCAGCUUAUUGUCUGUAUGAAACAAGUGUUUCACCAUCAUCUUUGUAUAACCGAUUUACCCUUAAUCUAGAAUCCAAACAAUAAGCAAACGUCUUUUAAUGAUAGUUAGUACAAGUUCCAUCUAAACCCAAUAUAUUGAUCCCAUCUGUUGUUAUGUUACGGACAUUGUUUCCUGCAGAUACUUUAAAUCGUAUGAAUUAAUGAACAUAGCAUCAAUAGCGUGAGAGAUAAGUUAAUGUCUUUUAAUGUUUCCUAAAAAUUAGUCUGUAACCGUCGAGUUAAUUCAUUUUAGUCUCUGCUAAUUACCUAUAUCUUUCGAUAAUUCUCUGUAAUCUCAACCUACAAUCACAAAAAAAACUCUUUAUGGUGAAAAAAACAUCUAAAGAAAGAGCUCGAACUGACACCGGGGAGCCGAGUACAAGCAACCUUAGUCGUCUGUUCGUAAGCACUGACUCACCUAAUGCUACCAAUGUUGCUGAUGACUCCAUCUCAGGUUUGUACAACUAAUCUAACUUAAAAAAACAUAUUGUCAACCAAAUUACAUAAACAAUUAAAAGCCACUACAAGUCGGUUCUUCACAUUAAAAAUCAAUAUCUUCAUGUGUGAAUUGUUAAGGAAGUUGAGGAUGACGUCACUGUUUACUAAGUGUACCACUAAAGGGCAUGAACCUAGACCACUAAUUAGAUUCUCCCUUUAAUACCACAAUGUCUACGUUUCAAUUUAAAUGAUUAGUAGUACUAUUAUUUAUUACCCCUAACAUUUAAUAGACACAUUACUCCUAAAGAAGAUAAUUGAAUUAAUAAUUAUUGGUAUUGAACCAAAAUAAAUAUGAAAAUAAAUCAUAGAAAAUUUUCUUUUCAUGAAAAAAAAUAUAGAAUAUGUUUUAAAAUUAUUAAUUAUUCAUAAUAGUUUUAAAGUUUAUAAACUCUUCAGAUUUAGGUUUAAAUAAAUUGUUGAUGUAAACUUUUGAGGCUUUUUGGCGACCUUUUGAAGAUUGUUCUACAAUGGGUAGCAGUUAUCAAAAUAUCAUUGUAAGUGACAUCAACUCAUAUUGAUUCUAAAUACCAUACAAGAUUUCUAAUACCGUAACUUAGAAUUUCAUUGUUAAUUAAUAGUGCAAGCUCACUGAUUUCAAGCAAACAAUAUAAAUUUUUGAAUAUCUACUAUGUUAGAAUAGUGAUGUAAUAUGUUCUCAAAUUUUACACGUGUAAUACAUGGUUCAUUUUUAUCGCAAUUUUAUCUAUGAUUAAUAAUUUGUUUCCAUGACAAUCCAAUAUAUAAGAUAAAAAAAAUUUGGAUCAUAACUUAGAUUUAACUAUUCUUUAUUCAUUUCACAUUUGCUGAUCUUUCUAUAUAUAGUUUUAGAUAGUACAUUGAUAACAGUCAGUUUUAGUCCUUUCUAAUUUAGUAUAUGGUUCAUAUUUUAUAAAAUGGGAUGUAAUAUAUGUGCAUUAUUAUAUUAAAUACAUUUAUAUUUGUCUAACUCCGGGCGUAGCCCGGACAAAAUCUCUAGUAUAUAUAAAAAUGUAAAAUAUGUAUCUUUUUGAAACAAAGAAAGUAUAUAUCAUGUCUAACCAGCAUACGAGUUUCUCUCAAAAGUUUUCUGAAUUCUUAUAUUAAGAUGAGCUUUUAAACCAACUAAUUUCUAAUAUUUCCCUUUCAACUUGCGUGGGCCUCCAACCCAUUUUAGACAGUCAAGACUCAAUAAGACCAGCUCUCCUGGAUCCAAUGGAAUAACUACGAUUCUACACUAAGAUGAUUUUUAUCAUGGGAUUUAUUUUCGUUUGAUUGGAAAUGUGUUUGCACUAGAGUCUUUGUAUGAAAAUUCUAGCCACCCUUUUUUAAUAUAUUACACCGAAUUUUAGCAAAAAAAAAAUUUGCAUAUAUAUAUAUAAACAUGUAACUUGAGAAAAAAUGAAAUAAGAUUUAUAAACACUAUAGUUUUUAGGAGAAAUUUUAUAUUUACCAUUUUUAUGGUACCACUUUUUAUCUUUACCACCAAGAAAGAGACAUUUUCAAAGAUACAUUUUUCAUUAAGUGACAAAAGAACAAAAUCAUUAUUAUUAUAUAUAUAUAUAUAUAUAUAUAUAUUGUAGAGUCUAUUUUUCUGCUUUGACAGGGUAAUGACGAAACUGCAUAACAUGAGAGUCUAUGAAGAUGAUAUUCCUGGUGCCAUCUCGGUACCUGCUAAGGCAGAGCCGAAUACAUGAGCAGGUCUAAGUGGUGUCAACACAACUAAGUCUCCAGCACUAGGGUGUUCUAAGAUGGUCAAGAAAGCACGCAAGUCAUAGAUUAAAAUAAUGAUAGAUCUGGCAUCAGUAUUUCCUCUUUGAAUAAUGCUUAGGCAUUGUUGUUUUUCUUUUGUUUUUGAACAAGUUCGUUUAUGUUUUACUCCUCUUUUGGUUAAUCUAUGUUUGGUUUAGACUCUCUUUAUAAAAUAUGUCUCAGUUUCCACAAUUGUUGUACAUCUAACUCACUAUUUAUUUAAGACGGACGACACUUGGUCCCAG